rnacentral:ncRNA from 1 species
UAAGAUAAUUAAGUUUCGUAUAACUCUAAUGAUAUGGUUUAGGGGUGUCUACCAGGAACCGAUAAUUCCUGAUUACGAAGGAGAUACAUUU